ACUGCUCCAAUGGAGGAGCAUCGUCGCCGUCGGUCUUGACGAAAUCUGAUAUAUAUAAGAACGCCCUUCCUCUCGUCUUCUCUCCAAGAAGUUCAUCAUCGUCUCGUCAACGACAUCGACGCCCGUUCUUCGCACUCGAGAUCUUCCGAUGGAGGUGCACGACCGACAAAUCGCCCCCGCCCAGGGCGGAAGCAGCGGCGGCGUGAUCUCCCUCCGUCCUCUGCAGCUCUCUGAUGUGGAUGACUUCAUGGUGUGGGCCACCGACCCGGACGUCGCCCGCUUCUGCCGGUGGGAGCCCUACACGAGCCGCGACGACGCCCUGGCCUACAUCGCCGGCACCGUGCUCCCCCACCCUUACCACCGAGCCAUCUGCCUCGACGGCAGGCCGGUCGGGGUCGUCGCGGUGGAGCGGAACGAGGUCGCGAGCGACGCCUGCCGGGGGAGCUGGGCUACGUGCUGGGCUCGGGCUACUGGGGGAGGGGGAUCAUGACGGAGGCGGUGAGGCUGGCGGUGGCGGAGGUGUUCGGCGGGGCGAGGCCGGAGCUGGAGAGGGUGGAGGCGGUGGUGGACGUGGAGAACAAGGCGUCGCAGAAGGUGCUGGAGAAGGCUGGGUUCAGGAGGGAGGGGGUGAUGAAGAAGUAUUUCGUGCUCAAGGGGAAGACCAGGGAUGCCGUCAUGUUCAGCCGUCUCGCCACUGAUGACGACUCUUGAUAUAUUCAGCAAUCAGCUUGAACGUUGCUCCCAUUUGUAGUGCAGAAUUCGACUUUACUUUUAGAAUUGUUGUGUUUGCCUCGAAAACAUCGUACGUAAUUGUAAAUCUAGUGUCGUGCACUUUUGAGUUUGUAAUAAAUUGUGGAAUUGGAUGAAUUGUACUUGAAAUUUGGCA